AUUGAACGCUGGCGGCAGGCCUAACACAUGCAAGUCGAACGAGCGGCGGACGGGUGAUUAAUGUCUGGGAAACUGCCUGAUGGAGGGGGAUAACUACUGGAAACGGUAGAUAAUACCGCAUACCAUCGGAUGUGCCCCGAUGGGAUUAGCUGGUAGGUGGGGUAAAGGCUCACCUAGGCGACGAUCCCUAGCUGGUCUGAGAGACGGACCACCAACACUGGAACUGCGACACGGUCCAGACUCCGACGGGAGGCAGCAGUGGGUAAUAUUGUACAAUGGGCGCAAGCCUGAUUCAGCCAUGCCGCGUGUAUGAAGAAGGCCUUCGGGUUGUAAAGUACUUUCAGCGGGGAGUCGUUACCCGCAGAAGAAGCACCGGCUAACUCCGUGCCAGCAGCCGCGGUAAUUC
rnacentral:rRNA from 1 species